rnacentral:tRNA from 1 species
GCCUGGCAGGCUCAGUUGGGAGAGCAUGAGACUCUUAAUCUUGGGGUUGUGAGUUCGAGCCCCAUGUUGGAUG